CACGAACCUCCAAACGUUAUUCGGAAUCAUUGGGCUUAAAGGGUGCGUAGGCGGCGCUUUAAGUCGGGUGUGAAAUCCCUCGGCUCAACCGAGGAACUGCGCCCGAUACUGGAGUGCUAGAGGGAGACAGGGGUGAGCGGAACUGAUGGUGGAGCGGUGAAAUGCGUUGAUAUCAUCAGGAACACCGGUGGCGAAAGCGGCUCACUGGGGUCUCUACUGACGCUGAGGCACGAAAGCCAGGGUAGCGAAC
rnacentral:rRNA from 1 species